rnacentral:rRNA from 1 species
AACGAACGCUGGCGGCAGGCUUAACACAUGCAAGUCGAACGCCCCGCAAGGGGAGUGGCAGACGGGUGAGUAACGCGUGGGAAUCUACCCAGUUCUACGGAACAACAGUUGGAAACGACUGCUAAUACCGUAUACGCCCUAAGGGGGAAAGAUUUAUCGGAAUUGGAUGAGCCCGCGUUGGAUUAGCUAGUUGGUGAGGUAAUGGCUCACCAAGGCGACGAUCCAUAGCUGGUCUGAGAGGAUGAUCAGCCACACUGGGACUGAGACACGGCCCAGACUCCUACGGGAGGCAGCAGGGGGGAAUAUUGGACAAUGGGCGCAAGCCUGAUCCAGCCAUGCCGCGUGAGUGAUGAAGGCCUUAGGGUUGUAAAGCUCUUUCAGUAGGGAAGAUAAUGACGGUACCUACAGAAGAAGCCCCGGCUAACUUCGUGCCAGCAGCCGCAGUAACAC